UACGUAGGUGGCAAGCGUUGUCCGGAUUUACUGGGCGUAAAGCGUCCGCAGGUGGCAGUUCAAGUCUGCUGUCAAAGACCGGGGCUCAACCUCGGAAAGGCAUUGGAAACUGAACAGCUAGAGUAUGGUAGGGGCAAAGGGAAUUCCUGGUGUAGCGGUGAAAUGCGUAGAGAUUAGGAAGAACAUCGGUGGCGAAGGCGCUUUGCUGGACCAUAACUGACACUGAGGGACGAAAGCGAGGGGAGCGAAUGGG
rnacentral:rRNA from 1 species